rnacentral:rRNA from 1 species
GACGAACGCUGGCGGCGUGCUUAACACAUGCAAGUCGAGCGGUAAGGCCUUUCGGGGUACACGAGCGGCGAACGGGUGAGUAACACGUGGGUGAUCUGCCCUGCACUUCGGGAUAAGCCUGGGAAACUGGGUCUAAUACCGGAUAUGACCUCCUAUCGCAUGGUGGGUGGUGGAAAGAUUUAUCGGUGCAGGAUGGGCCCGCGGCCUAUCAGCUUGUUGGUGGGGUAAUGGCCUACCAAGGCGACGACGGGUAGCCGACCUGAGAGGGUGACCGGCCACACUGGGACUGAGACACGGCCCAGACUCCUACGGGAGGCAGCAGUGGGGAAUAUUGCACAAUGGGCGAAAGCCUGAUGCAGCGACGCCGCGUGAGGGAUGACGGCCUUCGGGUUGUAAACUUCUUUCAGCAGGGACGAAGCGCAAGUGACGGUACCUGCAGAAGAAGCACCGGCUAACUACGUG